rnacentral:rRNA from 1 species
AACGAACGCUGGCGGCAGGCCUAACACAUGCAAGUCGAACGAACCUUCGGGUGAGUGGCGCACGGGUGCGUAACACGUGGGAAUAUACAUUUCGGUAAGGAAUAACAUAGAGAAAUUUGUGCUAAUACCUUAUAAUGACUCCGGUCCAAAGAUUUAUCGCCGAAGGAUUAGCCCGCGCUAGAUUAGUUUGUUGGUGAGGUAAGAGCUCACCAAGACUACGAUCUAUAGCUGGUCUUAGAGGAUGAUCAGCCACACUGGAACUGAGACACGGUCCAG